AAGUUCAAUCCAGUAUAUAAAAUGACAUUAAUAGUGAAUAAACUAACAACCAGCGACUGUAUUUAUUUAUUACUGCAUGUAUUUGUAGUAAAACAUGAGUUGAAACAUCCUGCUUUUGGAUCUAGAACUGCACAAGCCGUUCAUUUUCAGUCACCUGAUGAGUUAAACUCCCCUUUUUAUGUGAGGUUGAAGCAGAAAGUCUGAGUUAACAAAGAAAGUUGUUUAUAAUUUGCGAUACCUGUUAUCUCUGCCUGAGGCUUUAGUUUUUGUUGAGCUGAUUUACACGUAGAAACUUUGUUCAGGAAAAUUUCUCAGUAGCUCAGAGGACAGGCUGCUUUUUACACAACCUUGUAAGAGAAUGUCUGUCAAUGCUUUCAGCAGAAUUUAGAAACAACACUUCCUAAACAGAUAUUUUGAGGCUGUGAGGUUGAACGUUUGAGAGUAUAUCUGUGUGUUUGUUUGUGGUCUUUCUGUUUCUAGGUGGAAGCUGAAUUAGUGAGGAUGACUCCUGCUCCUGUCAUCUCUAAGCUCCUCACACAUCUUUACCUGCACAUGAGGAAAAUCACUCCUGUAGAAUGCAGAUGUUCAGAGGGAGAUGAUGCCACAUCUGGUCCAGCUGAUGGAAGGUCUUGAAGUUCUCUGACUGGCCUCGACUGAAGAUGGUCGUCUCACCGGAUUUAAGGUUCAGAUGUUCAGUAACAAACUCCACCAAUGAGCCAACAGGGAAGCUUUAGGUUUAUUAAAUGUUGCUAUGAAGGUAUCACUGUUUUUCUUUGUGAAUGCAAUGUGUUCCAACUGAAACUUGAAUUAGAACUUAGAAGUAAAUCCUUCCAUCUGAAAGGAUUUAGUUGCAUUAAUAACCUCAUAACAUUCUAAUUUUUAUUCCAGUCUUGGUUGGAAAUAGAAUCUCUGUAUUGAUUCAGGUAAAAACUGAACUUCACAGCAUGUUGGAGCAAAACAACCAGAUGAAAACUGUGAUGGUGUUGGAUUGUCAGACCGUAAUGUUGCAGCUCAAAGCAGCUUUUCUAGCUCAGUUCAUUCUGACAUUCAGCUAUGAAUCAACACAGCAGAUGGUGAUCCAUGCUGUGGAAGUCUCACAUCUCCUGAUUUAAUGGAGCUGCUUUGCACUUUUUACACUGUUUAUUCACCAACACUUUAUUUAAUGAAAGUCCCAUCUAGUUUUUUUGAGGAAUGUGAUGUUUUAAUUUCUCUGUGAAUAACUGCAGUCUAAUGCAACAGCUGGAGUUGUAACAUCUGUCCUGAUAUUGAUCAUGAAGUAUUGAUCAGAAUACUUAUGGUUAGCAGUCAUCCCUGAAGUUUUACAUUAAAAUCUUUACUUGUGUUGUGAACUUUGGUAAGAAGCAGAAACGUUAGCGUUGCCAUGGAUACAUGAGUGUUAAAUUCAGUCCAUGUUUCAUUUUGGGAAAUUCAGUCCAGUUCCAGAAUGUGGAGGAAUUUAGGCUCACAAUCACAGACAACAAAUAUUAUCUGAAAGCCGGGUUAUUGUUGUUUAUCAGCACAAUACAAAAAGAUUAAUGUUAGAAAUAUUCCAGUUAAGACCCUAGAAUAUCAUGAUUUAUGUAAAUUUACCUCAAUAAUAUGAAUGUUCAGGUCAAGAUUGUACAGUGAUAUUUGUUAUGUAAGUUUAGCUGAUUAAAGUUUAUGACUCUGCACUAAAAUAUUAUUUAAAUUGACAUCAUUAUUAUAAUAUUUAGGGUCAGACCCUACAGUAUUGAGAUUAAGAAAUCAAAUAUUCUAUAAAAUGUAAAUACAUUGAACUCAUUUGGAUAUAUUUAAGUGAGAAUCUACAAUAUUAUUUAUGACACAAAUCUAAAUUUUAAUCAUUUUUACUCCAAACAUUUACUGGACUGAUUUAAAUAUUAAAAUCACUCCUUUCUAAUCCUCUGCUGUACGUUCAAACCUGAGGCCUUAAAUAGAAACACACAAGUAUCUGUUUGAAGGAACUUCUGCAGAGUCCUGGUUCCAGAACAUGAUGAUAGAAUUAUAGACAAACUUUAACAAAAGCUGCCUGAGAGUUUACAGGUUUUUAUCUUAGAUUUCUUCAGUGAUUUAAUGAGUUAUCAGGAAAAAUGAAGUAUUCAUUUGAUGAACUUCAUUUCCUAAAACAUCCAGAAUUGGAGCUCAUAUCUUUGGCAGCUGUAAAGUUUCUGCUUCUUCAAAAUUCACAACACAAUGAAUUAAUCCCUAAAACUCUCUCAAUGCUGGAGAACGUUUGAUGCUGAAGCAGUGACCAGUUUUUCUGUUUCUUCUCUGGAGAUGCACAAUGAGGGACAUCUGCAGAGACUGAGAAAGAGUCUCACCACAUCCUUACAUGAGGAAAAAGACUUUAUUGAAGAUGUUGAGAAACAUGGAGGUAUGAGAUCCCAGAAUCAGCCACAAGGGGGAGACUCUGGCAGAAUAACAGCUAAAUAAGGGAACAUUGUGAUAUUAUAACCUGUGAUUUAUAACUGAUUCAUGCUAUAACCUAAUAAGUGUGUUAAAGCUAACUCAAAUACCUAUUUUUAUAAUCUUUGUUUAAGAAGUAACUAAGUCAGAACAGCAACUCACUGUGAAAAGUGAUGUUUUGGUUACCAGGGAAACUGAUGUUUUUGAUAGAUAUGACAAAUAUGAGGAACUAAUGCUUUAUUAAAUGGAAAUGCUUUUAAGAGUUUUGAUUACUAUGAAACUGAGAUGUUUUAGAAAGAGUUUUGAUUACUGUUAAACUAAAGUUUUUAACUUAGUAAUGAAAUGAGAAGUCAAGAGCUAAGGUGAACUGGGGUCAAGUGUUCACAGUAAAGGUUAUUAAGCUCGAAAUAGACUUCAGGGAUUUUUGUGAGUCUGACAUCUGUUUCCUGACCGGAGGUCUGCUCUGAGCUGUGGAUGGAACAAAUACAGUAAUAGAAAGUUGAGACUGGGUGAAAGGGCCAAACAGUCCAAGGUUUUGGUUCCUCCAGAGCACGCAGAGGCCAUGAGGUCGAUGGAUGGGAGCAGUGCACGAGUGAGGAGGGGGAUGAAUGCUGUCAUCACGUACGCAAACUGGAUGCUGACAUCGCAUAUGUAAAUUCUGGAGAGAGAAGUUUGCUAUAAAAUGCACCUGUUGGAAAGAGUUGUUGGGAGAGUUACGAGGUAGUCGCUGGAUGCAAGCCAGGCAGCAAUGCUCUGAGCAUGGGGGAUUUUACCACGUAACUUGGAAGAGAAUUCAACAUGAUCUGUAAAGGAAUAACUUUUCCACGGGAAUUAUGGAUUUAAGGACUGCUCCUUCUGCACUGUUGGAGGAUUACGAAAGACUGUGAUCUAAAAAUAACGCUGACUGAAGGAACAUUACCGAAGAUCUAAAUCGGGACUGAACUCUCUCUCCACCUCCUCCCUGGAGCAGAGCCCCAGCGGGGCGUCGGUCUUCAGGUGAGCAGCCGGGUGUGGCCACACCGUCUGCUCUCCCCCUCCAAAUUACAUAGUUUGGGUGAUUAUCGCUCUUCUUAGAUAAAAGCAUAGUUCCAGUUAGGGGUCAUAUUAGAGGAUUGUUAUAGGAAUUAAUGUUAAAUUGGUUGUCUGAUGAUUUAUGGGCUAUUGCUAUUUUCCUGCUGAAAUUUUAUAAUAAAGCAUUUAUCCUGCAAUUAAAGUUAACGGAUUGGAAAUUCUAUUUAUUUUUAUCAUGAUGAAUUAACCACAUAUAUCUUCUCAGUUUGUAAAAAGUCAGGUUAUUGUGUGCAUUACAUCUAAAACUGGUUCUGUCAGAUUACCUAGUCGUUGGGGCCGGGGGUGGCCUUUUUUAAACUUAUCCUGGGGGUUAUCCAUUCCUUAACCUCUAAAUUUAAACCUAGCAACUUACCAAGUGCAGAAUCCGAUGAGAGAAAAGCUGCCGUUAACAGACGUGACUGGUAAUUAAUUUGACCAUUCGAAAGUGGCUACUCAGUUGAGUUAGUUAUCAGUGGAAGCAGGAUAGGCGUCUGGAUGGAGGCAGUUAGAAGCUAGGUGAAUUUUCUCGCUUGCCAGCUUAAAAACGUUCCUCAGAUCCCAUCUGGGUUGUACCACAUGGGCCGCGGGAACUGGACCCGUUAGAUGGAGAGCUGGUCCAGUAAUUCUCUGAUAGUUAAUUAAUUAAUUUGAUUGAUUUAGGAGGUUACUGGCCCUAGGAUUCGACAAAGACUACAAGAGAAAAACUAUCAGACAGCAGACGGCUGCAUUCAAGGUGAGCUCUGAACAUUUGAUCUGGAACAGGAAUUCAAUAACGGCAGCAUGAGCUUCAUUUCAGUCUGUAGCUGCUGAAUUCAUGGAUGAAUCAUCUGGCACUAGAGAGGAAGACCAUCAAACAUCCAUGUCAGCUGAUGGAGGUCCAAGAGUCUCACCAAACAACCAACCUACAGAGUGAAGACCUCGAAUCUGAUUGGACGGCCUCCUAUUCAGCCACGUUUUAGGCUGUUAGAUUGUUCCAGAUAAGACGAGUACAAGAUACUUCAGAGCCGUUCUACCACGAGCCUGACAGGAAGAACUCCAACAGCUACUGAAUGUUCCUGUGGUCCCCUCAAGGCUACAGGAGGAGCCCUAUGAGGACGAGCCGGUCCACCUGAUGGCGGCCAGUCGCUGCGGUUCAAAGCCAACACCGACUACGUGGACUUCUACUGGACCACACGGAGGCCUUCAAACCGGACCAACAAGUUCAGCGACUCCCGACUCGUGGGUCUGAGGACGCCGCCGAGCCUCGGUCCAGCCGGCCUCCUGUCUGUGGGUGUUUGAGUGCUGAGAGGUUUGUGGAUGCAUGUGAACGUGUCUGUGUUGAAACAGCAGCUUUUGAUUCACUAAUGCCGGGAAAAACCAAGAGCUCCUUUAUUUGUGACUUCCACUAAAAAAAACUGAUGAAAAUAAGUUUGCCAGGGUUCUGACUGAUAACAGAUUAUUAAAUAAUGAAAAUAAUCAUUUAAAUAUUCCUUUAAACAAUCCUUUUAGGUCUACAUUUCCUUUACACUGACUUCUUGGUAUAUGUACAAGUAUUUUGGGUGGAAUAUACCAAUAAGCCCAAUGUCCAAGGGUUCUUCUGGGAAUAUACCAUUAACCAACCUUUUAGGUAAAUGUUCCAGGAUGUUGGGUAGAAUAUACCAUCAGAUCAACCUUUUAGGUCUACAUUGGAAGAUUUUAGAGUAGAAUAUUACUCCAAACCCUCCUUUAGGUCUACAUUUAAGGUGGAAUACUCCUUUACACCAAGAUUUUUUGGUCUACAUUGAAGGAUUUUAGCUGGAAUAUUCCUUCGAAUGAACUUCUUAAGUUUAUGUUCAAGGAUGUUGGGUGGAAUAUACCAUCAGACCAACCUCCAAGGUCUACAGUAGUGACUUUUAGGUAGAAUAUACCAUUAAACUCACCUUUUAGGUCUAUAUUGGAGGAUUUUAGGUGGAAUUUUCUUCCAAACCAUCUUUUAGUCUACAUUUAAGGAUGUUUAGGAUGGUAUAUUCUUCUGAACCAACUUCUCAGGUCUACAUUUCAGGUGGAAUAUUCCUCCAUACUCAUUUUUUUGGUCUACAUUGAAGGAUUUUUUCUAAACCACCCUUUCGGGUCUAUAUUUGAGGUUUGAGGUGGAAUAUUCCUUUUAACCAGCCCCUCAGGUCUCUGAGGAUUUUGGAUUGAAUACUCGGUUAAACCAACAUUUUAGGUCCAUGUCCAAGGAUUUUUGGUGGAAUGUUCCUUUAAGGUGGAUGUUUGAGGACCUUGUAGGUGGAAUACUUCCUGAAACCAACCUUUUAGGUCAACAUUCAAAGAUUUAAGGUGGAAUAUUCCUUUAAACCAACCUAAAUUUCAUGUUUUGAUCAUUAUCAAGUGAGAAACCUCAAUCCAGACUCCUCAUAAUGACGUUUGAGAUUUAUGCUGCUGUUAUUUGUUUAGUCCAGACUAAAUGACAGAAAUCUACAACUGUAAGUUUAUUUCAGGACUCGGUUAUUAAAUGGCAAAACAAUCCAUGUGACUCUAAAAACUCAACAGCUGUACAAACUCUAAACUCUCCACAAGGAUCCAAAAUAAGUUGGACUUCUACAUGAGAGCUUUAAUUAUUCUUCAUCUACUUCCUGAAAAGUGUGGUCAAUAAAAAAGACAAAGACUAAUAUUUUCAGCUGAACUAAAGACAGACUUUGUGAUUUUUCUGCUCACAUGUUGUGUUGUUGUAAACUUACUCUUUCAAAUAAAUAGCCUCCUAACCCCCUGGAAACCAGCGUUUGUCCUGUUUUUGUGUUGCUCCUCAGCGACCCUAGACAGCCGGGUCCUAAUGUUUUUUGAGCAACACACCAUACUAUGACGUUUUUACAAUGAUGGUUCUACUAUGGAACCAGUUUGACAUGUUCAGGUGUUCUUUGUGUGAAAACUCAGAGAUUUCAGGUAUCAGAAGGUGGUUUUCAACUUUCUUUGUUAACUUUCUGCCUCAACUUUAAAUUAAAUUUCCUUCACUAACCCAGCCCUCUGGACUUCCAGCAAGCUGUAUUCCUAUUGGCUGUCCAGGUGGCUGCUUGGUGUUAUUAGGAACACCUGAGCAGCUCAGUGUCUUCCUGCUUUAUUUAGCUGCAGACAAACGUUUCCUCUGCUUCUCUUCACCACUAAACCGGGUUUGGCUCCAUUGCUUUAGUUUGUUCUUUAGGCGUUGGCUUGCAGCUUCCAGCAGUAAAAUCGUCUUUAAUGUGUUUCUUGGUGUGUUUUAGGGCUUUGUACUGGAUAGUUGUCUUGGUAAAUGUGGUUCUUUAGCCACAGUUAGCACAUGGUGCUAAUGUGUACAGUGAUUAGUGGAUUUGCUGCAGCUGAGUUAUGUCUUUAUCUUGGCUGUAGUGAGUCUCUAGAGGUUUUUGGUCAGACACAUUCUGUAUUCAUGUUUGAGAACCAACGUUGGUUGUCCAGAAGGUAAGAGUUCCUGUCCUGAUUCUCUGUUCUCAGAGGUUCUCUGGUAGGCUGCAGGAGACUUUAGUGUUUGGGUUGUACUAGUUUGGUUUUUGUACGGUUUCAUUUGGAGGACUAUCUUGAGGCUCCUCCAUGUGGUUUAGUGAGGUUUUCUGGAACAGUUCUACAAAGCAACCUGCAGCAGAAGAGACUUUGAGAGUUUUUAGGAAGUUCUGGAGACCAGACUUUAGAGCAGCAGAAACAUUUGUCAGCAGUUUGAGCAGGAGAAGGUGAGCUUCAGAGUAGAAAUGAGACAGAAACCUUCUUGACCCGUGUGGUGAUGUCCUGUACGAAGAGUUUGAGCAGGUUGUGAAGAGUCUGUAGUUCUUUGGUCUGAAACCACGAGAAGAGUCGACUCAUUAAAGGAGAAAACAGGAGAUAUUGUUGGUUCUUCUGUCGCUCUGCAGUUUCCUUAGACUGAAUAUCAAGUUUAUAUUUUAAAUGAUUUCCCAUGUGAGCCCAAGAAGACUUCAAUAAACUCCCUCCAUCCCCUGGACACAACAGAUUUUAUUACCAUGUUAAAUCUUUUUUUUUUUUUUUUUUUUUUAAAUAUGUUGUUAAGUUUUAAUCGUAGUUUUAGCAUAGUUU